UUGUGAUGUGAUUGCUUAGACUUUAUUGGU
rnacentral:piRNA from 1 species